GAUUAACGCUAGCGGCAGGCAUAAUACAUGCAAGUUGAACGGGAUUAGUUUAGCAAUAGACUAUGAGAGUGGCGCACGGGUGCGUAACACGUAUGCAACCUGCCCUUGACUGGAGAAUAGCCUCUCGAAAGAGAGAUUAAUGUUCCAUAACAUAAUGAUAGAGCAUUCUAUUAUUGUCAAAGCUCCGGCGGUCAAGGAUGGGCAUGCGGUUGAUUAGCUAGUUGGUGAGGUAACGGCUCACCAAGGCGACGAUCAAUAGGGGGUCUGAGAGGAUGUCCCCCCACACUGGUACUGAGACACGGACCAGACUCCUACGGGAGGAAGAAGUAGGGAAUAUUGGUCAAUGGAGGCAACUCUGAACCAGCCAUGCCGCGUGCAGGAAGACUGCCCUAUGGGUUGUAAACUGCUUUUGUACGGGAAGAAACCUUCGAAUGCGUUCGAAGUUGACGGUACCGUGAGAAUAAGGAUCGGCUAACUUCGUGCCAGCAGCCGCCGUAACAC
rnacentral:rRNA from 1 species